rnacentral:pre_miRNA from 1 species
AAGGGGAGCACCGGAUCCUGGGCUGUGACCCCGGCACCCUGGGAUCCUAAGCCUGCAUUGCUGGUAUCGAAGUCCUGGGGCUGCGCAGCCCCCU